CCUUGAUCCAAUGGCUGUCAACCAUGUGAUGAUCUUAAGGACAUAGUUAACAUGGCAAUGAGAAUCAACCCACCGGAAAAACAGAAAACAUCAAAGAGGGAGCCAACUUGGGUGAAAGUGGUUUGCCCAAGACAACCAGGUAGUGUGGAAUGUGGGUAUUAUGUGAUGAGAUAUAUGAAGGAAAUCAUUGCUAAUCCAAACCAACUAACAUCAAAGUUUUGCGGGAAGAAAUCAUAUAGUGAAAUGGAAAUUAAUGAAGUUCGAUCAGAUUGGGUUAUGUUAGUGACUCAGUUAAUCAUUACUCAUGUUUGAAGUUGGCAGUGUUUUCAAUAUGGAUCAUUUGGG